CGGCGGACGGGUGAGUAACGCGUGGGUAACCUGCCUCAUACAGAGGGAUAACAGUUAGAAAUGACUGCUAAUACCGCAUAAGACCACGGUACCGCAUGGUACAGUGGUAAAAACUCCGGUGGUAUGAGAUGGACCCGCGUCUGAUUAGGUAGUUGGUGGGGUAACGGCCUACCAAGCCGACGAUCAGUAGCCGGUCUGAGAGGAUGAACGGCCACACUGGAACUGAGACACGGUCCAG
rnacentral:rRNA from 1 species